rnacentral:ncRNA from 1 species
CUUAUCAAGAGCGGCGGAGGGACAGGUCCUGUGAAGCCCGGCAACCGACACCAUAGAGUGAAACGGUGCUAAUUCCUGCGGUCAUCAGACCGAGAGAUGAGG